UAAACUUGCUAGAGAAAUCCCAAACAUUAUCAGCCUUUCCAACAUCUCGUGUAUCCAAACUAAUCGGAACAGUUACCUUUGUGAGAUCAUCGAUGAUAUUUGAAGAACCACGCUUUGGCUUGAAUGUGUUCCCAUCAACUUCAAUAAACCGUGCAGCAAUUUCAUCAAAGGAUAAUCGCGGCUUCCCACGAGGAUCCUGUUGAUUUACACCAGAACUGUUAAGUUUAUCCAUAUCCAUAUUGAAACCCUAGUAGUCGUCAACAGAGAUUUAGGAAACAGGAUUGCCGGCUGAAAAACGGCAGCCGAGACAAACCCUAGCCGAAACCUGCAAUUGAAGUGUAUCAAACCCUAGCCGCCAAGAGACUGAAUUCGACAAAACCGACCAGAAAUCCAAUUGGAACGAACAAACCAGGCAACUCUCUCCUAUAAUCAAACAGAAAGCAACGAACAUGCAACAGAAAUCCAAACAAACAACGACCGCAACCAAACAGAAACCCUAAUCUAGUCGGCAAUAAAGAACGAAGGAAAACAGAAACCCUAAUUUAAAAUCGAUCACAACUGAUAACAGAAUCUGCACUAGAGAUUGGAGAACAAUCGCUAAUAUCAAACAUGUUAAUCAGAAGAUUACGAAGAAGAAAGUAGGGUUACAUGAGGAACGAUAAUCGCCGGCUAGAGAGAGAGAUUAGGGUGCGGAUAAUGAUACCAAAAUACUAAGUACCAAAAUACGAUCUUGCUACUCAUAAUCAGGUUGGAAAACUAAGUUCGCUAUGUGUUUUAAUUUAGAAAGCUAAGCUAUACUAAAUUUUAUAGUUUUAUGGGUACAAUUAGUUGUACAACUUUUUUUGUUCAUUUCAAUUGAUUUUUUUUUUUUGCCAACUUAAACGUAUGUUUGAGGUACCUAUUGGAUCAAACAAUGGCAUAACUUGUUUACGAGGUAACCAUGUUCUCAUUAUUGUUUUACAUUUAUCAUAGAAACAUGGCACAAGUAUAUUAUAAAUGCGUGAUUUUUCCAGACAUCUAAUGAAACAAAAUGUUUGUGCAAUGUAAUCAGAUGUGCGGGAAGCCUGAUGUUACCAUAACAGAUAAGAGUUAGUCACAAUGGGGUUUUUGUUACUUAAGCUCAGUUUUGCUUUAUUUUACAUUAUUCAAUUUUUUAUGUUGGAUUUUUUUGUGCAGGUGUGCAAACUUAUCUUUAGUGGGCUAAACAAAUGGACUUGUGAUAUUGAUAAGGGAUUAGGCUAGUGGGCUAGAUAAUAUGUGAUGGACUGGAGUUAGGCUUGUAAAGGGAGUGUGCUAGUGCAACUUCAGUGGACCUUAUAUCAGAGUUUGAACAUCAGAAGUAAAUACGGUUUUGUGUAUAUUUAGAGGAGUGUAUAUUUAGAGGACAAGGUUGCAUUUCUUGGCAGCAAGCUCUUCACACAGUUAUAGGUUUUGAUUAAGUUUUGUAUUUAUUCUAAUGUGGUUUUCAAAAUAUAGAACGUGGGUUGUAAGUUGUAACUACCAGGUAGAAGUUUUUUGUGUAAUUGUUUAGGUCAGUUAAUUUAUGUGGAUCGUGGGUUUUACGUUUAUAAUUAAAACAUAUGUUACU